rnacentral:rRNA from 1 species
AGUGAACGCUGGCGGCGUGCUUAACACAUGCAAGUCGAACGGUAGCACAGUAAUUGCUCUCUCGUACGGGUGCCGAGGGGUGGAUGGCACAUGAAUAACCUGCACCUUACUCUUUCGUAGGGGCUAACGACGGGAACCAUACCCUAAUAUCGCAUACGACCUCAUGGUGAACGCUUGGGAACUUUUGUCCUUCCGCGAUUGACUGACCCGCUGUCGGCUUAGUUAGUUGGCGGGGUAACGGCCCACCAUGGCGACGAACCGUAGCUGGUCUGGGAGGAUGAUCAGCCACACUGGAACUGAGACACGGUCCAGACUCCUACGGGAGGCAGCUGUAGGGAAUAGUGGACAAUGGGCGCAAGCCUGAUCCAGCGAUACCGCGUGGGUGAAGAAGGCCUUCGGGUUGUAAAGCCCUUUUGUUGGGAAAGAAAAGCAGCAGGUUAAUACCCCGCUGUUCUGACGGUACCCAAAGAAUAAGCACCGGCUAACUUCGUG